rnacentral:rRNA from 1 species
AUUGAACGCUGGCGGCAUGCCUUACACAUGCAAGUCGAACGGUAACAGGUCUUCGGAUGCUGACGAGUGGCGAACGGGUGAGUAAUACAUCGGAACGUGCCCGAGAGUGGGGGAUAACGAGGCGAAAGCUUUGCUAAUACCGCAUACGAUCUCAGGAUGAAAGCAGGGGACCGCAAGGCCUUGCGCUCACGGAGCGGCCGAUGGCAGAUUAGGUAGUUGGUGGGAUAAAAGCUUACCAAGCCGACGAUCUGUAGCUGGUCUGAGAGGACGACCAGCCACAGUGGGACUGGGACACGGCCCAGACUCCUACGGGAGGCAGCAGUGGGGAAUUUUGGACAAUGGGCGCAAGCCUGAUCCAGCCAUGCCGCGUGCAGGAUGAAGGCCUUCGGGUUGUAAACUGCUUUUGUACGGAACGAAAAGACUCCUUCUAAUAAAGGGGGUCCAUGACGGUACCGUAAGAAUAAGCACCGGCUAACUACGUGCCAGCCGCCGCCGUAAAAC